AGGGUUGUAGCUCAGUCGUAGAGUGCUCGCCUGGUGCGUGAGAGACACUGGGUUCGAUCCUCAGCACCACAU
rnacentral:tRNA from 1 species